UGGGGAAUAUUGGACAAUGGGCGCAAGCCUGAUCCAGCCAUGCCGCGUGUGUGAUGAAGGCCUUAGGGUUGUAAAGCACUUUCACCGGAGAAGAUAAUGACGGUAUCCGGAGAAGAAGCCCCGGCUAACUUCGUGCCAGCAGCCGCGGUAAUACGAAGGGGGCUAGCGUUGUUCGGAAUUACUGGGCGUAAAGCGCACGUAGGCGGAUCGAUCAGUCAGGGGUGAAAUCCCGCAGCUCAACUGCGGAACUGCCUUUGAUACUGUCGGUCUAGAGUAUGGAAGAGGUGAGUGGAAUUCCGAGUGUAGAGGUGAAAUUCGUAGAUAUUCGGAGGAACACCAGUGGCGAAGGCGGCUCACUGGUCCAUUACUGACGCUGAGGUGCGAAAGCGUGGGGAGCAAA
rnacentral:rRNA from 1 species